rnacentral:rRNA from 1 species
UCCGGUGGUGGAAAGAAUUUUGGUCAGGGAUGAGCUCGCGGCCUAUCAGCUAGUUGGUGAGGUAAUGGCUCACCAAGGCGACGACGGGUAGCCGGCCUGAGAGGGUGACCGGCCACACUGGGACUGAGACACGGCCCAGACUCCUACGGGAGGCAGCAGUGGGGAAUAUUGCACAAUGGGCGAAAGCCUGAUGCAGCAACGCCGCGUGAGGGACGACGGCCUUCGGGUUGUAAACCUCUUUUAGUAGGGAAGAAGCGAAAGUGACGGUACCUGCAGAAAAAGCACCGGCUAACUACGUGCCAGCAGCCGCGGUAAUACGUAGGGUGCAAGCGUUGUCCGGAAUUAUUGGGCGUAAAGAGCUCGUAGGCGGUUUGUCGCGUCUGCUGUGAAAACCCGAGGCUCAACCUCGGGCCUGCAGUGGGUACGGGCAGACUAGAGUGCGGUAGGGGAGAUUGGAAUUCCUGGUGUAGCGGUGGAAUGCGCAGAUAUCAGGAGGAACACCAAUGGCGAAGGCAGAUCUCUGGGCCGUAACUGACGCUGAGGAGCGAAAGCAUGGGGAGCGAACAGGAUUAGAUACCCUGGUAGUCCAUGCCGUAAACGUUGGGAACUAGAUGUGGGGACCAUUCCACGGUCUCCGUGUCGCAGCUAACGCAUUAAGUUCCCCGCCUGGGGAGUACGGCCGCAGGCUAA